AGGGACACACUCUGAGCCGAAUAAGAUUAAAUAUGCGAGUUGAAAUUAUUUUAUAGGCAGAUUGAAAUAAUAAAAGUGAUACAUUUUUGUCAGAAUCUCAGCACAUUUGAGGGACAAGAUGCUUUUUCUCAUUUGAACACCAUUACAGAUCCUCAAAAUGAAGUUAUGGGCAUACAAUUUUGUAUAUAAAUCAAAUUGGGUCUUUUUUUUUUUGGGUUGAAACUCUUAAAAUUCACCUUCACAUAAUUUCUAUGAUAAAUGUUAUGUUUUUUUUUUGUUCAAAAUGUGCAGAGCUUUGACAACACUAUACUCUCCACAUUAAGUAAUACGGUUUGAAAAGUAUAUAUUAACUGUGAUGUCAACAAUGUGUCUAUUGUGUUUUUUAAAUAUUCAGCUCUAUCAUUUGUAUACCAAAAUGUCAUGUUUUUCACGAUUUUAUAAUAUACAGACAAGUUUUGCUAUUAUAUUGAUUGAAGUUUAUCUACAAAUUAUUUUGUGGAGAUGCCGAACCUUCAUAAGUGUUGAACUGAUUGGCUUAUGGUCUGACAUUUGGCUCAUUCAUUUUUAUUCUACCAGCAAAUAUUACUAUAAAAUCGACUAUCAUAUUCUUAUAUUAUUUUUAUUUCACCAGUGACCAAGCUUUGCUGCUC